rnacentral:tRNA from 1 species
GGUUUUAUAGUUUAAAAAAAAUUUGAGACUGCAAAUCUUAAGAUGCUGGUUGGCUAAAAUCU